UUUUGAAGCUUGCUUUUCAAACUUAGCGGCGGACGGGUGAGUAACACGUGGGCAACCUGCCCUUGAGACGGGGAUAACUCCGGGAAACCGGAGCUAAUACCGGAUAACACAUAUCUUCGCAUGAGGAUAUGUUAGAAGGUGGCUUUUAGCUACCACUCAAGGAUGGGCCCGCGGCGCAUUAGCUAGUUGGUGAGGUAACGGCUCACCAAGGCGACGAUGCGUAGCCGACCUGAGAGGGUGAUCGGCCACACUGGGACUGAGACACGGCCCAGACUCCUACGGGAGGCAGCAGUAGGGAAUCUUCCGCAAUGGACGAAAGUCUGACGGAGCAACGCCGCGUGAGUGAUGAAGGUUUUCGGAUCGUAAAGCUCUGUUGUUAGGGAAGAACAAGUACCUGUUAAAUAAGCAGGUACCUUGACGGUACCUAACCAGAAAGCCACGGCUAACUACGUGCCAGCAGCCGCGGUAAUACGUAGGUGGCAAGCGUUGUCCGGAAUUAUUGGGCGUAAAGCGCGCGCAGGCGGUUCCUUAAGUCUGAUGUGAAAGCCCACGGCUCAACCGUGGAGGGUCAUUGGAAACUGGGGAACUUGAGUGCAGAAGAGGAGAGCGGAAUUCCACGUGUAGCGGUGAAAUGCGUAGAGAUGUGGAGGAACACCAGUGGCGAAAGCGGCUCUCUGGUCUGUAACUGACGCUGAGGCGCGAAAGCGUGGGGAGCGAACAGGAUUAGAUACCCUGGUAGUCCACGCCGUAAACGAUGAGUGCUAAGUGUUAGAGGGUUUCCGCCCUUUAGUGCUGCAGCAAACGCAUUAAGCACUCCGCCUGGGGAGUACGGUCGCAAGACUGAAACUCAAAGGAAUUGACGGGGACCCGCACAAGCGGUGGGAGCAUGUGGUUUAAUUCGAAGCAACGCGAAGACCUUACUCAGUCUUGACAUCUUCUGCUACUUCUAGAGGAUAGAGGUUCCCUUCGGGACAGAGUGACAGGUGGUGCAUGCUU
rnacentral:rRNA from 1 species